GCGGGUAUAACUCAGUGGUAGAGUGCAACCUUGCCAAGGUUGAUGUCGCGCGUUCGAAUCUCGUUUCCCGCU
rnacentral:tRNA from 1 species